UACGAAGGGGGCUAGCGUUGCUCGGAAUGACUGGGCGUAAAGGGCGCGUAGGCGGUUCGCACAGUCAGGCGUGAAAGUCCUGGGCUUAACCUGGGGACGGCGCUUGAUACGUGCGGGCUUGAGUGGGGAAGAGGGUCGUGGAAUUCCCAGUGUAGAGGUGAAAUUCGUAGAUAUUGGGAAGAACACCGGUGGCGAAGGCGGCGACCUGGUCCUUUUACUGACACUGAGGGACGAAAGCUAGGGGAGCGAAUGGG
rnacentral:rRNA from 1 species